rnacentral:piRNA from 1 species
UGCCCUUCAUUUAAUAAUUAAGUGUUCCUCC